rnacentral:rRNA from 1 species
UGGGGAAUCUUGCGCAAUGGGCGAAAGCCUGACGCAGCAACGCCGCGUGCGGGAAGACGGCCUUAGGGUUGUAAACCGCUUUCAGCAGGGACGAAAAUGACGGUACCUGCAGAAGAAGCUCCGGCUAACUACGUG